GCCAAGGUCUAAAACACGUACUUCAAAAACUCAUGAUGCUUCUCUUGCUAUAAAUUGAGAAAUCCUUCCUUGUUCUGAUAUACUUAGUGGUGAAGCUUCAAAAUUCAGAAGUGGUAAAUCAUUUUCUUUUGUAUUUGCAGUGGGCAAACAGGUAUGGACAUUCUACUUCACAAGCCCUUUUAUAGUGAACUUCACUAUCUGUGGGAAGACAGCCAUCCCUCCUGGCCCAGCAACAACUUCUGGAUCUUCAAAAAGAACUGUAGUUCCCUCCUGACAUCUGCAACAUACCCAUUACUGUGCAAGACCCUCCAUCUGGAACACUGACAGAGUGAUGUGACGUGAUCCUGUUGGAAGAAGCAAUGUCUGGUAUACAAAGAGGAAGAAAAGAAGACCCUACAGGGUGCAGCAAGAGCUAGACAGGAGUGUGAGAUCAGCAGUUUCCUUGUCUUGUCUCCAGAUUGGUACUCUCAAAGUAAUAUCCUGCUUCUUCUCAGAACCUCUCUCCCUCAGGCAGCUAGAUAGCCAGAAGUCU